GUGUUCGCUUCGGAGCACAUAUACUAACAUUGGAACGAUACAGAGAAGAUUAGCAUGGCCCCUGCACAAGGAUGACACGCAAAUUCGUAAAGCGUUCCAUAUUUUU
ensembl:snRNA U6 U6 spliceosomal RNA